GUGCUUACUUUGGCAGCACAUAUAUUAAAAUUAGAAUGAAACAGAGAAGAUUAGCAUGGUCCCUGUCCAAGGAUGACAUGCAAAUUCCUGUUCCAUUUUUUU
ensembl:snRNA U6 U6 spliceosomal RNA